UACAGAGGGGGCAAGCGUUGUUCGGAAUUACUGGGCGUAAAGGGCGCGUAGGCGGCCGCCUAAGUCAGACGUGAAAUCCCUCGGCUCAACCGGGGAACUGCGUCUGAUACUGGGUGGCUUGAAUCCGGGAGAGGGAUGCGGAAUUCCAGGUGUAGCGGUGAAAUGCGUAGAGAUCGGGCGGAACACCAGCGGCGAAGGCGGCAUCCUGGCCCUGACCUGACGCUGAGGCGCGAGAGCGUGGGGAGCAAACUGG
rnacentral:rRNA from 1 species